rnacentral:rRNA from 1 species
GGGCGUAAAGGGCUCGCAGGUGGUUUGUUAAGUUGGUGGUUUAAUCUCUGGGCUCAACCCAGAGUCAGCCUCCAAAACUGGCGAACUUGAGUACGAUAGGGGAUAGCAGAAUUCUCGGUGUAGCGGUGGAAUGCGUAGAUAUCGAGAGGAACACCAAUGGCGAAGGCAGCUAUCUGGAUCGUAACUGACACUCAUGAGCGAAAGUGCGGGGAGCAAACAGGAUUAGAUACCCUGGUAGUCCGCACCGUAAACGUUGUAUACUAGUUGUUGGCGGUUUCAACGCCGUCAGUGACGACGCUAACGCAUUAAGUAUACCGCCUGGGGAGUAUGCUCGCAAGGGUGAAACUCAAAGAAAUUGACUGGGGCCCGCACAAGCGGUGGGGCAUGUGGUUUAAUUCGACGAUACGCGAGAAACCUUACGUGGGUUUGACAUGGAUUUGACUGGGGUAGAGAUACCCCUUCCCGCAAGGGCAGAUUCACAGGUGUUGCAUGGUCGUCGUCAGCUCGUGUUGUGAGAUGUUGGGUUAAGUCCCGCAACGAGCGCAACCCCUAUCUUCUGUUACCAUCAUUAAGUUGGGGACUCUGAAGAAACCGCCGGUGACAAACCGGAGGAAGGUGGGGAUGACGUCAGAUCAGCAUGGCCCUUAUAUUCCAGGGCUACAUCACGUGCUACAAUGGCCAGUACAGAGGGACGCAAAGCCGCGAGGUGGAGCAAAUCCCACAAAGCUGGUCUCAGUUCAGAUUGCAGUCUGCAACUCGACUGCAUGAAGUCGGA